rfam:Populus trichocarpa scaffold_1_contig_25, whole genome shotgun sequence.
AUGCUGUGAUGAAAUUCUGUGUUCCGGAGACGAUCUCAGAUGAGGUCGUCUUUGACGGCUGCACAAACCUCUAAGAAGUUCUGAGCUU